UUUAGGACUGUGUGAUGUAUUUUGGGAUGAUGCGCACAGAUUCCAGUAAGGUGGUCUUUUGCAGUUGAGAGAUUGCAAUUUUGUCAAUGUUUAUUAUUAUUAUUAUUAUUAUUAUUAUUAUUAUUAUUAUUAUUAUUAUGUUUCUUUACACCCCUCUCUUUCUCUCCACAAGGAGACUCAAAGCAGCUCAUAGCAUCUCUUCUAUUCCAUCAUCCAAAUCAUUGAUAAAGAGGCUAAAUGCAUUUCAAGCCUGUUUCCCAAACACUUAUGCUUCAAUCUGUAUUUCCGAUGGCGCAGAAUUCCCAGCUGUAAUUUGAUGCUGUAAUUAUGCAUUUGAGAGCAAGUGUAAUUUAUAAAACCACUGCAAAAUUCAAAUUCUAAUGAUCUAAGACAAUUAGAACGGGAUGAUAAUAAUAGCUUGUGAAACCUUAGGCAUGGCAACCCAGCAUGUUAGAACUGGGAUUAAUUACACAAUGUAGCACGAUUUUUGUUCCUGGUUCAUAAAUGUCGUUUCCUAAUUGAGUCUAUUAUAAAAACAUGGAAAAGGUUUAUUAAACUGCAAAAACUUUGUCUUUGCAGAACAUCCUGCAGCACAUUUGGCUCUGGUUUUUCAAUGAAUGUCUCCUCGAGUCUCAACCAAUUCAACCUAGUUUGUGGCAGCCACAAAAACGAAACUUCUGGAGUAGGACAACUACUUUCAAACUGCAGGACGGAGGGAGCCCUGGAGUGGCCAAUCAUAGAAUCAUAGAAUAGUAGAGUUGGAAGAGAUCUCAUGGGCCAUCCAGUCCAACCCCAUUCUGCCAAGAAGCAGGAAAUCACAUUCAAAGCACCCCCGACAGAUGCCCGGGGGAGAGAGUUCCACUGUCGAACAGCCCUUCUCACAGAGAGGAAGUUCUUCCUGAUGUUCAGGUGGAAUCUCCUUCCUUUCCUGUAGUUUGAAGCCCUUGUUCCAUUGCGUCCUAGUCUGCAGGGCAGCAGAAAACAAGCUUGCUCCCUCCUCCCUAUGACUUCCCUUCAUGUAUUUGUACAUGGCUCUCAUGUCUCCUCUCAGCCUUCUCUUCUGCAGGCUAAACAUGCCCAGCUCUUUAAGCCGCUCCUCAUAGGGCUUGUUCUCCAGACCCUUAAUAAUUUUAGUCGCCCUCCUCUGGACGCUCUCCAGCUUGUCAACAUCUCCCUUCAACUGCGGUGCCCAGAAUUGGACACAGUAUUCCAGGUGUGGUCUGACCAAGGCAGAAUAGAGGGGAGCAGGACUUCCCUGGAUCUAGACGCUAUUCCCCUAUUGAUGCAGGCCAGAAUCCCGUUGGCUUUUUUCGCUGCCACAUCACAUUGUAGGCUCAUGUUUGACUUUUUCGCACACACUGCUGUCAAGCCAGGCAUCGUCCCCCAUUCUGUAUCUUUGAUUUCCAUUUUUUCUGCCGAAGUGAAGCAUCUUGCAUUUGUCCCUGUUGAACUUCAUUUUGUUAGUUUCGGCCAAUCAUCUCUCUAGUCUGUCAAGAUCGUUUUGAAUUCUGCUCCUGACUUCUGGAGUGUUGGCUCUCCCUCCCAGUUUGGUGUCGUCUGCAAACUUGAUGAUCGUGCCUUCUGACCCUUCACGUGGGGAGGAGAUUCCCUGGGUGGAGGGAAGUCCUCAGGACAAACAGUCCAUAUUUGGAAAAUGUAGAUAGUAGUUUUGGAUACAAUGGAUGUCUGGGCAUGGAGAUGACUGGCUUAUGUAAAUGGAGAGUCCAGGAUGCCGGGAACAAUGAUGAUCUCCCAAGUCUGUUCUCAGGCUGGCCAAAUAAAGAUAUGUCCAUAGGAGUGUUGAAAUGGCCAAAGUUCCUCUUGUGUCUGGGUAUGGAUGGUAUAUGUACAUUGUGAUCCGCCCUGAGUCCCCUUCAGGGUGAGAAAGGUGGAAUAUAAAUACAGUAGAGUCUCACUUAUCCAACGUUCUGGAUUAUCCAAUGCAUUUUUGUAGUCAAUGUUUUCAAUACAUCGUGAUAUUUUAGUGCUAAAUUCGUAAAUACAGUAAUUACUACAUAGCAUUACUGCGUAUUGAACUACUUUUUCUGUCAAAUUUGUUGUAAAAUAUGAUGUUUUGGUGCUUAAUUUGUAAAAUCAUAACCUAAUUUGAUGUUUAAUAGGCUUUUCCUCAAUCCCUCCUUAUUAUCCAACAUAUUCACUUAUCCAACAUUCUGUAUAUGUUGGAUAAGUGAGACUCUACUGUACUGUAAAUAACUUAAUUAAUUAAUUAGCUGCUGGUGGUCCACUGCAGGACUGAGAAGAUUGCAUGCAAAAGAAAGGACACCACUUUAUUUCAUUCUGGCCUAUUGUCCUUUAAAAACUAUAAAUCUUUUGGAGUGGAGGUCCAGUUUUCAACAACAUAUCGAUAUAAUCAGACUACAACAGUCUUAUAGGAAGAGUUCAGGCUUGGUUUGCUCUGGAAGACAUGUGCAGUAGAGUCUCACUUAUCCAAGCUAAACGGGCCGGCAGAACCUUGGAUAAGCGAAUAUCUUGGAUAAUAAGGAGGGAUUAAGGAAAAGCCUAUUAAACAUCAAAUUAGGUUAUGAUUUUACAAAUUAAGCACCAAAACAUCAUGUUUUACAACAAAUUUGACAGAAAAAGCAGUUCAAUAUGCAGUAAUGUUAUGUUUUAAUUACUGUAUUUACUAAUUUAAUACCAAAAUAUCAUGAUAUAUUGAAAACAUUGACUACGAAAAUGGCUUGGAUAAUCCAGAAGCUUGGAUAAGCGAAGCUUGGAUAACCGAGACUCUACUGUAUUUGCCUUUUUAUCAACCCACAGUAUCUGCAGAACUCUUCUUGCAUCGGUGAACGUUAAAUAAAGUGUGCCGUGUCUUUAAGUUGUCACAAAACUCCCCAAAUGUCUAUAAUAUCAGGCACUCUGUUCUUGAGUUGUUAAGUUGGUGGCAGUUUCUUUCAGCAUCGGAACAAAAGACCACUUCUUCUUCCAAUCUGCCACAAAGGCUCCUCUCCGGGAAUCGGCUCAAACUGCCUGCUUUUACUCUAAUGGCCCACAAGGCAGAACCGCUCCUGCGAUUGCUUCCCAAUUUUGGCUCCGUGACAAGAGCAGGAGCCGUGAAAUGCAGCAAAACCGCAACAGAAAUACACACAAAGAGAGACUAGCCUCAAACAAAAGGAAAUGUUUUCCUUUUUGCCCUCCAAACCUAUUCAGCUGCUCCAAUUCCAUCUGGUACUUUACGAAAGCUGUGUUUAAAGAAAUAUGUAUUUAUUGGUAAUGAGAAGGUUGGAGAUAAUGCAGUAAGAUAUCUUUCAGAGUGCAUCUACUACACAAAAGAAUUUAUGAAACUGGACCCAAUUUUAACUGCUCCGGCUCAAUGCUAAGAGAUCUUGGUAGUUGUAGUUUGGUGAGGCACCAGAACUCUUUGGCAGAAAACAAAAAAGAUCUUGUAAUACUACAAUUUCCAGAAUUUCAUGGCAUUGAGUCAUGGCAGCUAAAGUGGUGCCAAACCACAUUCAUUCCAUGCUGUAUAUUUUCAGGGGAUCCAAUAAAUAUAUCCUAUAUAUCAGGCAUGGGCAAACUUUAUUGCGCCAAAUUGCUAUGUGUGUGUGUGUGUAAAGAAAUCAGUGCAAAGUUGCUUGCAAAAGAUCUCUGCAAAAAGGGAGCUGAGCUUUUUUGCAGAGGCAAGCCACGCCUCAAACAAUGUAUCGGUUUGCUGGCAGAUGGCUGGGUUUGUCAGUUGGUAAUCUGAGCUUGCGGGGAGAGCACAGAAAUGGAGAAGCUCUCUAGCUACGGUCAAGCAGCAGUUUGAAUAUGCUAUGCUGUAAAUAGAAUGCUGAUGUUAUUGAUCUUAUGCAACUAGGACAUUGUACGAUUGCAGAACUGUUUUAUAUUUCAACUCAACAAGCAAGAGUAAAGUUCUUUUGUUCUUUCAA